rnacentral:tRNA from 1 species
AGUGUAGCUUAGUGGUAGAGUAUUUACUUUACAUGCACAGGUCCUGGGUUCAAUUCCCAGCACU